rnacentral:RNase_P_RNA from 1 species
UGAGUCAGCCGGGCGGCCGCGGCAGCGAUGUCGAGGAAAGUCCGGGCUCCGCAGGGCGAGGUGGUGGCUAACGGCCACCCGGGGCGACCCGCGGGACAGUGCCACAGAGAGAAGACCGCCGGUGCUCGCACCGGUAAGGGUGAAAGGGUGGUGUAAGAGACCACCAGCGGGCCGGGUGACCGGUCCGGCUAGGUAAACCCCACCUGGAGCAAGUCCAGACAGUGCGCGCCCGAGGGCUGCCCGCCCGAGCGCACGGGUAGGACGCGACGAGGUCGUCGGCGACGACGGCCCCAGAUGGAUGGCCGCCCAUCCGCCCCUCGGGGCGGUGGACAGAACCCGGCUUACAGGCUGACUCAUCCC